rnacentral:rRNA from 1 species
UGGGGAAUUCUGGACAAUGGGCGCAAGCCUGAUCCAGCAAUGCCGCGUGCAGGAUGAAGGCCUUCGGGUUGUAAACUGCUUUUGUACGGAACGAAAAAGCUCUCUCUAAUACAGGGGGUGAAUGACGGUACCGUAAGAAUAAGCACCGGCUAACUACGUGCCAGCAGCCGCGGUAAUACGUAGGGUGCAAGCGUUAAUCGGAAUUACUGGGCGUAAAGCGUGCGCAGGCGGUUUUGUAAGACAGAGGUGAAAUCCCCGGGCUCAACCUGGGAACUGCCUUUGUGACUGCAAAGCUGGAGUGCGGCAGAGNGGGAUGGAAUUCCGCGUGUAGCAGUGAAAUGCGUAGAUAUGCGGAGGAACACCGAUGGCGAAGGCAAUCCCCUGGUCCCGCACUGACGCUCAUGCACGAAAGCGUAGGGAGCAAACA